rnacentral:tRNA from 1 species
ACCUUCGUGGUGUAAGAAUAGCACACUCGGCUCGGGUCCGAGAGGUCCAGGUCCGAAUCCUGGUGAGCGCA